GGGUUGUGAGGUUAAGCGACUAAGCGUACACGGUGGAUGCCCUGGCAGUCAGAGGCGAUGAAGGACGUGCUAAUCUGCGAUAAGCGUCGGUAAGGUGAUAUGAACCGUUAUAACCGGCGAUUUCCGAAUGGGGAAACCCAGUGUGAUUCGUCACACUAUCAUUAACUGAAUCCAUAGGUUAAUGAGGCGAACCGGGGGAACUGAAACAUCUAAGUACCCCGAGGAAAAGAAAUCAACCGAGAUUCCCCCAGUAGCGGCGAGCGAACGGGGAGCAGCCCAGAGCCUGAAUCAGUGUGUGUGUUAGUGGAAGCGUCUGGAAAGGCGUGCGAUACAGGGUGACAGCCCCGUACACAAAAAUGCACAUAUUGUGAGCUCGAUGAGUAGGGCGGGACACGUGGUAUCCUGUCUGAAUAUGGGGGGACCAUCCUCCAAGGCUAAAUACUCCUGACUGACCGAUAGUGAACCAGUACCGUGAGGGAAAGGCGAAAAGAACCCCGGCGAGGGGAGUGAAAAAGAACCUGAAACCGUGUACGUACAAGCAGUGGGAGCACGCUUAGGCGUGUGACUGCGUACCUUUUGUAUAAUGGGUCAGCGACUUAUAUUCUGUAGCAAGGUUAACCGAAUAGGGGAGCCGAAGGGAAACCGAGUCUUAACUGGGCGUUAAGUUGCAGGGUAUAGACCCGAAACCCGGUGAUCUAGCCAUGGGCAGGUUGAAGGUUGGGUAACACUAACUGGAGGACCGAACCGACUAAUGUUGAAAAAUUAGCGGAUGACUUGUGGCUGGGGGUGAAAGGCCAAUCAAACCGGGAGAUAGCUGGUUCUCCCCGAAAGCUAUUUAGGUAGCGCCUCGUGAAUUCAUCUCCGGGGGUAGAGCACUGUUUCGGCAAGGGGGUCAUCCCGACUUACCAACCCGAUGCAAACUGCGAAUACCGGAGAAUGUUAUCACGGGAGACACACGGCGGGUGCUAACGUCCGUCGUGAAGAGGGAAACAACCCAGACCGCCAGCUAAGGUCCCAAAGUCAUGGUUAAGUGGGAAACGAUGUGGGAAGGCCCAGACAGCCAGGAUGUUGGCUUAGAAGCAGCCAUCAUUUAAAGAAAGCGUAAUAGCUCACUGGUCGAGUCGGCCUGCGCGGAAGAUGUAACGGGGCUAAACCAUGCACCGAAGCUGCGGCAGCGACGCUGAUGCGUUGUUGGGUAGGGGAGCGUUCUGUAAGCCUGCGAAGGUGUGCUGUGAGGCAUGCUGGAGGUAUCAGAAGUGCGAAUGCUGACAUAAGUAACGAUAAAGCGGGUGAAAAGCCCGCUCGCCGGAAGACCAAGGGUUCCUGUCCAACGUUAAUCGGGGCAGGGUGAGUCGACCCCUAAGGCGAGGCCGAAAGGCGUAGUCGAUGGGAAACAGGUUAAUAUUCCUGUACUUGGUGUUACUGCGAAGGGGGGACGGAGAAGGCUAUGUUGGCCGGGCGACGGUUGUCCCGGUUUAAGCGUGUAGGCUGGUUUUCCAGGCAAAUCCGGAAAAUCAAGGCUGAGGCGUGAUGACGAGGCACUACGGUGCUGAAGCAACAAAUGCCCUGCUUCCAGGAAAAGCCUCUAAGCAUCAGGUAACAUCAAAUCGUACCCCAAACCGACACAGGUGGUCAGGUAGAGAAUACCAAGGCGCUUGAGAGAACUCGGGUGAAGGAACUAGGCAAAAUGGUGCCGUAACUUCGGGAGAAGGCACGCUGAUAUGUAGGUGAAGUCCCUCGCGGAUGGAGCUGAAAUCAGUCGAAGAUACCAGCUGGCUGCAACUGUUUAUUAAAAACACAGCACUGUGCAAACACGAAAGUGGACGUAUACGGUGUGACGCCUGCCCGGUGCCGGAAGGUUAAUUGAUGGGGUUAGCGCAAGCGAAGCUCUUGAUCGAAGCCCCGGUAAACGGCGGCCGUAACUAUAACGGUCCUAAGGUAGCGAAAUUCCUUGUCGGGUAAGUUCCGACCUGCACGAAUGGCGUAAUGAUGGCCAGGCUGUCUCCACCCGAGACUCAGUGAAAUUGAACUCGCUGUGAAGAUGCAGUGUACCCGCGGCAAGACGGAAAGACCCCGUGAACCUUUACUAUAGCUUGACACUGAACAUUGAGCCUUGAUGUGUAGGAUAGGUGGGAGGCUUUGAAGUGUGGACGCCAGUCUGCAUGGAGCCGACCUUGAAAUACCACCCUUUAAUGUUUGAUGUUCUAACGUUGACCCGUAAUCCGGGUUGCGGACAGUGUCUGGUGGGUAGUUUGACUGGGGCGGUCUCCUCCUAAAGAGUAACGGAGGAGCACGAAGGUUGGCUAAUCCUGGUCGGACAUCAGGAGGUUAGUGCAAUGGCAUAAGCCAGCUUGACUGCGAGCGUGACGGCGCGAGCAGGUGCGAAAGCAGGUCAUAGUGAUCCGGUGGUUCUGAAUGGAAGGGCCAUCGCUCAACGGAUAAAAGGUACUCCGGGGAUAACAGGCUGAUACCGCCCAAGAGUUCAUAUCGACGGCGGUGUUUGGCACCUCGAUGUCGGCUCAUCACAUCCUGGGGCUGAAGUAGGUCCCAAGGGUAUGGCUGUUCGCCAUUUAAAGUGGUACGCGAGCUGGGUUUAGAACGUCGUGAGACAGUUCGGUCCCUAUCUGCCGUGGGCGCUGGAGAAUUGAGGGGGGCUGCUCCUAGUACGAGAGGACCGGAGUGGACGCAUCACUGGUGUUCGGGUUGUCAUGCCAAUGGCACUGCCCGGUAGCUAAAUGCGGAAGAGAUAAGUGCUGAAAGCAUCUAAGCACGAAACUUGCCCCGAGAUGAGUUCUCCCUGACUCCUUGAGAGUCCUGAAGGAACGUUGAAGACGACGACGUUGAUAGGCCGGGUGUGUAAGCGCAGCGAUGCGUUGAGCUAACCGGUACUAAUGAACCGUGAGGCUUAACCUUACAACGCCGAAG
rnacentral:rRNA from 1 species